rnacentral:rRNA from 1 species
GGGUGCUAACGUCCGUCGUGAAGAGGGAAACAACCCAGACCGCCAGCUAAGGUCCCAAAGUCAUGGUUAAGUGGGAAACGAUGUGGGAAGGCCCAGACAGCCAGGAUGUUGGCUUAGAAGCAGCCAUCAUUUAAAGAAAGCGUAAUAGCUCACUGGUCGAGUCGGCCUGCGCGGAAGAUGUAACGGGGCUAAACCAUGCACCGAAGCUGCGGCAGCGACGCUUAUGCGUUGUUGGGUAGGGGAGCGUUCUGUAAGCCUGUGAAGGUGUACUGUGAGGUAUGCUGGAGGUAUCAGAAGUGCGAAUGCUGACAUAAGUAACGAUAAAGCGGGUGAAAAGCCCGCUCGCCGGAAGACCAAGGGUUCCUGUCCAACGUUAAUCGGGGCAGGGUGAGUCGACCCCUAAGGCGAGGCCGAAAGGCGUAGUCGAUGGGAAACAGGUUAAUAUUCCUGUACUUGGUGUUACUGCGAAGGGGGGACGGAGAAGGCUAUGUUGGCCGGGCGACGGUUGUCCCGGUUUAAGCGUGUAGGCUGGUUUUCCAGGCAAAUCCGGAAAAUCAAGGCUGAGGCGUGAUGACGAGGCACUACGGUGCUGAAGCAACAAAUGCCCUGCUUCCAGGAAAAGCCUCUAAGCAUCAGGUAACAUCAAAUCGUACCCCAAACCGACACAGGUGGUCAGGUAGAGAAUACCAAGGCGCUUGAGAGAACUCGGGUGAAGGAACUAGGCAAAAUGGUGCCGUAACUUCGGGAGAAGGCACGCUGAUAUGUAGGUGAAGCGACUUGCUCGUGGAGCUGAAAUCAGUCGAAGAUACCAGCUGGCUGCAACUGUUUAUUAAAAACACAGCACUGUGCAAACACGAAAGUGGACGUAUACGGUGUGACGCCUGCCCGGUGCCGGAAGGUUAAUUGAUGGGGUUAGCGGUAACGCGAAGCUCUUGAUCGAAGCCCCGGUAAACGGCGGCCGUAACUAUAACGGUCCUAAGGUAGCGAAAUUCCUUGUCGGGUAAGUUCCGACCUGCACGAAUGGCGUAAUGAUGGCCAGGCUGUCUCCACCCGAGACUCAGUGAAAUUGAACUCGCUGUGAAGAUGCAGUGUACCCGCGGCAAGACGGAAAGACCCCGUGAACCUUUACUAUAGCUUGACACUGAACAUUGAGCCUUGAUGUGUAGGAUAGGUGGGAGGCUUUGAAGUGUGG